rnacentral:piRNA from 6 species
UUCUCACUACUGCACUUGACUAGUCU